UCGAAGGUAGGCAUAAUCAGUAGUCUUUUAAUUGAAGGCUGGUAUGAAUGGUUGGACGAAAUAUUAACUGUUUCAUGAAAAUUUAUAAUAUAAUUUUAUUUUUUAGUCAAAAAGCUAAAAUAUAAUUUAAAGACGAGAAGACCCUAUAAAUCUUUAUAUUUAAUUUAUUAUAAUUUUAUAGAUAAAUUUUAUUAUAUUAAUUAAUAAUAUUUUAUUGGGGUGAUAUUAAAAUUUAAUAAACUUUUAAUUAUAAAAAUCAUUAAUUUAUGAAUAAUUGAUCCAUUAUUAAUGAUUAAAAAAAUAAGUUACUUUAGGGAUAACAGCGUAAUUUUUUUGGAGAGUUCAUAUCAAUAAAAAAGAUUGCGACCUC
rnacentral:rRNA from 1 species